rnacentral:rRNA from 1 species
UACGAGGGGGGCAAGCGUUGUUCGGAAUUACUGGGCGUAAAGCGCGCGCAGGCGGGUCAUCAAGUCAGGGGUGAAAGCCCAGAGCUCAACUCUGGAAUGCCCUUGAAACUGGUGACCUUGAGUACGGGAGAGGUGAGUGGAAUUCCCAAUGUAGAGGUGAAAUUCGUAGAUAUUGGGAAGAACACCGGUGGCGAAGGCGGCGACCUGGUCCAUUACUGACGCUGAGGCGCGAAAGCGUGGGGAGCAAACAGG